rnacentral:lncRNA from 1 species
CAUGCUUUCUUACUUAAUUGGGGUUGUUCUGCACUUCAAUCUGCUGAAACUGUCAGACACAUAAACUGAAACAGUAAUAAGGGAAUCAUUUGUAUUGAACUCCUCUUAUACCUAGUCCUAGUUUCCUACAUUAGUUCAUUCCUCAUCGCCAAUAUCAAAUUGCGGUACCUCACUUUCUGCAAUUUCAUGUGUGGCCUCAAAACAUUAUGCUUAAUGACUUCUUAAGUGGAAAAGGAGCUUUUCGGAACUACCAAUGAACACAAAAAGGGG